rnacentral:rRNA from 1 species
GAUGAACGCUGGCGGCGUGCCUAACACAUGCAAGUCGAACGGAGUUAUGUGGAAAGAUUCUUCGGAUGAUGGAAACAUAACUUAGUGGCGGACGGGUGAGUAACGCGUGGGCAACCUGCCUCAUUCAGGGGGAUACCAGUUGGAAACGACUGUUAAUACCGCAUAAGCGCACGGUUCCGCAUGGAACAGUGUGAAAAGCUCCGGCAGAAUGAGAUGGGCCCGCGUCUGAUUAGCUGGUUGGUGAGGUAACGGCCCACCAAGGCGACGAUCAGUAGCCGACCUGAGAGGGUGACCGGCCACAUUGGGACUGAGACACGGCCCAAACUCC